CCUCGUUUGUUCAGGGGCUGCCGGCCAGGGCUUCAGGACGUUUCUGCGGCUUUCCCCGCGCGGCCUGGGCUCCCGCGGCUGCUUUUCGGGCCCAUGGGCGCAGCCACUGCGCCAGGCUCAAGGGGGGCGGCCCCGUCAGGGCCCGCCAUCUUGGAAGGCCUUUUUUGCCGGUUCUUCCCGCUGAGGAAGUGUCGCUCAAGACGCUGGCCUAUGAGUUGUGAUUUCUGCCUUUUCCCCUUCCUCCUUGGGCUAAGCCAGACCAGAAAGGGCCCCGUGCGCAACGUGCUUCACAAUCUCUCAGGGAAAGCGGCUAACGUGGCGCUACUCCGCCUCCCCUGUUCCUUACCCUUGGGGCGGCCGCCAUGUUUCCUGAACACAAAAUGGCGACACGUGGUUAGCAUUCGUCGCCAACGAGAAAUUGGGGUCGGCCCGAAAGCUCUAGAAUGCACCCCUCUUCCUCCCCGGGGCCUUCCACCUCCGCGAGUUUUAUGACUUAAAAAAGCCCACAGGCUGGUCUGAAGGUCGGAGGCCUAAUUUUAACGCGUUUUCCUCCCUUUAAUUUGAAACGGGAACGCGAAUGACUGUAAAAUGUGGGCACAAUAUUUAAUCUCUCGCCUUUUUAAAGCUUAAUAGUGGAUAAUAGGGGGGCAGUAUCAAGGGAUAAUUUGGGUCCCCACAGUACCAAAGCAUUUAGAAACCUCUGUUUAAUUUAAGGAAUGAGAUAAGUUACUGCUUUUCUAGACUUCCUAGCAUGGGCUGUUGUGCUGGAGAGAACGAGAGCUACGAAGAGACUACAGUGCCUCUGACUUUUUCAUAGGACAGUUGGCCGAGGAAGACAAACAUAAAGAUGAAGUGCUUAAUUCAAGGUCACACAAUGUCGGGGAUGGACCUCCAGAUUUCCUUACUGACCUGCAUUAUCUUGUGGAUACCUGAGUGAAUUCCACACCACCCAUUUUAUAGAUGAAACCACUGAGACAUGGAGCAAUUGACUGAGUAGUCACUGCCCCACCCCUGCCUGGAGCCUCACACAUGACUCGCCUCCUCUCAGUGACCACAGCAGGGAAUUUCUUCCACUUGCAGACCAAGUGUGUUGGGGACUUGAGAUGCGUACAUGAGUGUGAUGUUUCCUGCUGAAAGCACAGGUGAGACGUGGUCUUGUAACACAGUGGUUAAGAAUGUGACUUUGGAGCCAGCCUGCUAGGGGCUGAAUUCUGACUCAGCCAUUUACUAACUGUGUGACCUUAGGGAGGAGGACCUGGUUGAUAGAAGAAUUUAUCUCGUAGUCUUAACAUCCACUGUAAUUCCAAACUUUGAGGACGAUAGAGAUCAGUGGGCUUUGACUGCCCAGCAUGCAGUCUCCAUUCUUAGGUGGGUUCCCAAGCCUGUAAAAUGUAAGCCUUAUGCUGCUGAGGGCCAUCUUGCCACCCUGAGGGAAACGCUGCCUGAGAAUGAAACAAGCAUAAGUAAAAGCUGAGCUGUGAGAUGGAGCAAGAUGAAGGCCACAUGACAUCUUUGGAGCACCUGGAUCUAACUGUGCCUUAAGCUAGUCUAACCCUGAACAUUUCAUCAUUUCAUUGACAUGAGCCCAGGUUUUCUUUUUUUUUGGAUGGAGUCUUGCUCUGUCGCCCAGGCUGGAGUGCAGUAGCUCAAUCUCGGCUCACUGCAAGCUCCACCUCCCGGGUUCACGCCAUUCUCCUGCCUUAGCCUCCCAAGUAGCUGGGACAACAGGCGCCCACCACCACUCCCAGCUAAUUUUUUGUAUUUUUAGUAGAGACGGGGUUUUACCAUGUUAGCCGGGAUGGUCUUGAUCUCCUGACCUCAUGAUCCGCCCGCCUCGGCCUCCCAAAGUGCUGGGAUUACAGGUGUGAGCCACUGCACCCAGCCCUCAGGUUUUCCCUUUUUUUACCCCUCCUUUUGAAAAUUUGAUGUGGAAUUUUGCCACCUGCAGCCAGAAGAGUUUUAACUAAUCAGUGCCAUAAAUUUUAUAUAGUUCUCCUUGCAAAAUGUGGAUCAGCCUUUCUCAGCAAAUCCUUUGUCAUAAAGUGCUGAAUUGUAAGUUUGUCAUGAGAAUCACAUGAGAUCAUGCAUGUGAAGAACCUGGCAUUAUCCUCCUCAUAGAAAAAAACCAGUAAAUAUUAACUACAGGAAGCAAGGAAGGAGUGGGGUGAGGGGAAGAAGAAGGGGUACUGAUUUAAAAGAACCCUGGAGUCCUAAGGAUAAUCUAGGAACCCUCAGACCCAAUCCGAUACCCCUAUUCUAAAUGCUCCUAGUGCCCUGUACCUUCCCCUCAUAAGCCUUCAUUAUCAUUGUAAUGAUAUGUUUAUGUAAUAUUUUGAUUAAUGUCUCUCCUUCACUGACCUAGCAGUUCUAGCAGGGCAGUGAUUUUGCUGUGUUGCAUCCCCAGCACCUAGUCUGGUAUGUGGCAUUCAGCAUAUGUUUAUUGAAUGAAUGGCCAUGUGGUUAUUCAGAUCCUCCUUGAUUAUUGGGGUUAGGAUUGUGGCAGAAGUGGCAAAAUCAGGGAGAGUAGUCCCUGUCCCCUCUGUAUCUUAUACACUGCCCACACUCCCAACACACAUACACAUACAGAGAAUUUUGUCUCAAUUAGAUAAUUAACUUCUGCUUGGUUGUAAACCAAACCACUGGUUCUUAAACUUUCAUUGGAUCAUUUUAUUGAAGAAUUAAAUAGUGUGGUUCUGGCCUAAUGUCUGGAAAGCCUUGCAGAGGAGUGGAUUAGGUCUUUGUGAUAAACAGGCAGCCUUCCCUGCUCCUGUGUCUUUAUAAAAUCUAUUUAACUGGAGUAGUCCACCCUCCCUCAGGCUCUUACAGGAAUAUGUUGGAGGCUGUAGGAAGGUGGGAAACCGAGAGGGAAAGGACUGGGCCGCUGGAGACUUCACUCAUUCCCUAGCAAGAAACAAAAGCAGUAAAAGGUGGCCCGAGGACAACCUGAAGCUCACUCCUUCAGCACUUUUGGCUGGAGGUCACUUGUUGGAGCCCCACUCAGAGCUCAGCACACCACCCCACCAGCAGCCUCCUCCUCCCAGCUGAGGCUGCAUUUCAUCCCUUCCCCCAGCCUGCUUUCCCUGAGAUAGGGGAGUGUUUCCCAGGGCCCAUGUGACUUCCACUGGCAAGUGACGAUUACCAAUGGUUUACUAGUCAGUGAAACUACCAAAGGCUUUUGUGCUGUAGUAAUCCUUUUCCUGUUUAAAACUCUGGGGAUUUUCUAAUGUUGCCAAUAGUUUUUCAAGUCAGCAAUUACUGUGUGGAUUAUGUAAUGGCUCGGUAUUA
ensembl:lncRNA PCBP1-AS1 PCBP1 antisense RNA 1